CAUGCAAGUCGAACGAGAGAGAAGGAGCUUGCUUCUUCGAUCGAGUGGCGAACGGGUGAGUAACGCGUGAGGAACCUGCCUCAAAGAGGGGGACAACAGUUGGAAACGACUGCUAAUACCGCAUAAGCCCACGGGUCGGCAUCGAUCUGAGGGAAAAGGAGCAAUCCGCUUUGAGAUGGCCUCGCGUCCGAUUAGCUAGUUGGUGAGGUAACGGCCCACCAAGGCGACGAUCGGUAGCCGGACUGAGAGGUUGAACGGCCACAUUGGGACUGAGACACGGCCCAGACUCCUACGGGAGGCAGCAGUGGGGAAUAUUGCACAAUGGGGGAAACCCUGAUGCAGCGACGCCGCGUGGAGGAAGAAGGUCUUCGGAUUGUAAACUCCUGUUGUUGAGGAAGAUAAUGACGGUACUCAACAAGGAAGUGACGGCUAACUACGUGCCAGCAGCCGCGGUAAAACGUAGGUCACAAGCGUUGUCCGGAAUUACUGGGUGUAAAGGGAGCGCAGGCGGGAAGACAAGUUGGAAGUGAAAUCUAUGGGCUCAACCCAUAAACUGCUUUCAAAACUGUUUUUCUUGAGUAGUGCAGAGGUAGGCGGAAUUCCCGGUGUAGCGGUGGAAUGCGUAGAUAUCGGGAGGAACACCAGUGGCGAAGGCGGCCUACUGGACACCAACUGACGCUGAGGCUCGAAAGUGUGGGUAGCAAACAGGAUUAGAUACCCUGGUAGUCCACACCGUAAACGAUGAUUACUAGGUGUUGGAGGAUUGACCCCUUCAGUGCCGCAGUUAACACAAUAAGUAAUCCACCUGGGGAGUACGACCGCA
rnacentral:rRNA from 1 species